UGCUGGAGGUAUCAGAAGUGCGAAUGCUGACAUAAGUAACGAUAAAGCGGGUGAAAAGCCCGCUCGCCGGAAGACCAAGGGUUCCUGUCCAACGUUAAUCGGGGCAGGGUGAGUCGACCCCUAAGGCGAGGCCGAAAGGCGUAGUCGAUGGGAAACAGGUUAAUAUUCCUGUACUUGGUGUUACUGCGAAGGGGGGACGGAGAAGGCUAUGUUGGCCGGGCGACGGUUGUCCCGGUUUAAGCGUGUAGGCUGRUUUUCCAGGCAAAUCCGGAAAAUCAAGGCUGAGGCGUGAUGACGAGGCACUACGGUGCUGAAGCAACAAAUGCCCUGCUUCCAGGAAAAGCCUCUAAGCAUCAGGUAACAUCAAAUCGUACCCCAAACCGACACAGGUGGUCAGGUAGAGAAUACCAAGGCGCUUGAGAGAACUCGGGUGAAGGAACUAGGCAAAAUGGUGCCGUAACUUCGGGAGAAGGCACGCUGAUAUGUAGGUGAAGCGACUYSCUCGUGGAGCUGAAAUCAGUCGAAGAUACCAGCUGGCUGCAACUGUUUAUUAAAAACACAGCACUGUGCAAACACGAAAGUGGACGUAUACGGUGUGACGCCUGCCCGGUGCCGGAAGGUUAAUUGAUGGGGUUAGCGGUAACGCGAAGCUCUUGAUCGAAGCCCCGGUAAACGGCGGCCGUAACUAUAACGGUCCUAAGGUAGCGAAAUUCCUUGUCGGGUAAGUUCCGACCUGCACGAAUGGCGUAAUGAUGGCCAGGCUGUCUCCACCCGAGACUCAGUGAAAUUGAACUCGCUGUGAAGAUGCAGUGUACCCGCGGCAAGACGGAAAGACCCCGUGAACCUUUACUAUAGCUUGACACUGAACAUUGAGCCUUGAUGUGUAGGAUAGGUGGGAGGCUUUGAAGUGUGGACGCCAGUCUGCAUGGAGCCGACCUUGAAAUACCACCCUUUAAUGUUUGAUGUUCUAACGUUGGCCCSUKAUCSGGGUUGCGGACAGUGUCUGGUGGGUAGUUUGACUGGGGCGGUCUCCUCCUAAAGAGUAACGGAGGAGCACGAAGGUUGGCUAAUCCUGGUCGGACAUCAGGAGGUUAGUGCAAUGGCAUAAGCCAGCUUGACUGCGAGCGUGACGGCGCGAGCAGGUGCGAAAGCAGGUCAUAGUGAUCCGGUGGUUCUGAAUGGAAGGGCCAUCGCUCAACGGAUAAAAGGUACUCCGGGGAUAACAGGCUGAUACCGCCCAAGAGUUCAUAUCGACGGCGGUGUUUGGCACCUCGAUGUCGGCUCAUCACAUCCUGGGGCUGAAGUAGGUCCCAAGGGUAUGGCUGUUCGCCAUUUAAAGUGGUACGCGAGCUGGGUUUAGAACGUCGUGAGACAGUUCGGUCCCUAUCUGCCGUGGGCGCUGGAGAACUGAGGGGGGCUGCUCCUAGUACGAGAGGACCGGAGUGGACGCAUCACUGGUGUUCGGGUUGUCAUGCCAAUGGCACUGCCCGGUAGCUAAAUGCGGAAGAGAUAAGUGCUGAAAGCAUCUAAGCACGAAACUUGCCCCGAGAUGAGUUCUCCCUGACUCCYUGAGAGUCCUGAAGGAACGUUGAAGACGACGACGUUGAUAGGCCGGGUGUGUAAGCGCAGCGAUGCGUUGAGCUAACCGGUACUAAUGAACCGUGAGGCUUAACCUUACAACGCCGAAGRUGUU
rnacentral:rRNA from 1 species